rnacentral:rRNA from 1 species
AUUGAACGCUGGCGGAAUGCUUUACACAUGCAAGUCGAACGGCAGCACGGACUUCGGUCUGGUGGCGAGUGGCGAACGGGUGAGUAAUGUAUCGGAACGUGCCCAGUCGUGGGGGAUAACGUAGUGAAAAUUACGCUAAUACCGCACACGAUCUAUGGAUGAAAGCGGGGGAUCGCAAGACCUCGCGCGCUUGGAGCGGCCGAUAUCAGAUUAGGUAGUUGGUGGGGUAAAGGCCCACCAAGCCAACGAUCUGUAGCUGGUCUGAGAGGACGACCAGCCACACUGGAACUGAGACACGGUCCAGACUCCUACGGGAGGCAGCAGUGGGGAAUUUUGGACAAUGGGCGAAAGCCUGAUCCAGCCAUUCCGCGUGCAGGAUGAAGGCCCUCGGGUUGUAAACUGCUUUUGUACAGAACGAAAAGGUUUCUACUAAUACUAGGAGCUCAUGACGGUACUGUAAGAAUAAGCACCGGCUAACUACGUGCCAGCAGCCGCCGUAA